AUACAUGGAGCAAAAUCUCAACUUUAUUAGAAGGGCGGCAUUUAUUAGAUAAAAGCCAAUGCAUGCUUUUACAGUAUGGAAAUUGGUGAUUUAUAAUAACUUAGCAAAUCGCAAAGUGAAAACAGGCGAUAAAUCAUUCAAGUUUCUGACCUAUCAGCUUUCGACGGUAUGGUAUUGGCUUACCGUGGCAGUGACGGUUAACGGGGGAUUAGGGUUCGAUUCCGGAGAGGGAGCCUGAGAAACGGCUACCACAUCUAAGGAAGGCAGCAGGCGCGCAAAUUACCCAAUUCUAACAGUUUAAGAGAGGUAGUAACAAGAAAUAACAAUACAAGGCAAUUAAAAUGCUUUGUAAUUGGAAUGAUAGAAAUUUAAACCCUUUUUAAAGUAUCAAUUGGAGGGCAAGUCUGGUGCCAGCAGCCGCGGUAAUUCCAGCUCCAAUAGCGUAUAUUAAAAUUGUUGCAGUUAAAAAGCUCGUAGUUGAAGUUCUGCUAAAAGUAACCGGUCUGCUUUUAAUAAAAGUGGUAUCUUGGUGUGUAUUUAGCAAUGAUGUCCUUUGAAGUGUUUUUUACUUUAUUGUAAUAAAGCAUAUUCAGGACUUUUACUUUGAGAAAAUUAGAGUGUUUCUAGCAGGCCAACGCUUUGAAUACUGCAGCAUGAAAUAAAUAA
rnacentral:rRNA from 1 species